rnacentral:rRNA from 1 species
GAUGAACGCUAGCUACAGGCUUAACACAUGCAAGUCGAGGGGAAACGACAUCGAAAGCUUGCUUUUGAUGGGCGUCGACCGGCGCACGGGUGAGUAACGCGUAUCCAACCUGCCCACCACUUGGGGAUAACCUUGCGAAAGUAAGACUAAUACCCAAUGAUAUCUCUAGAAGACAUCUGAAAGAGAUUAAAGAUUUAUCGGUGAUGGAUGGGGAUGCGUCUGAUUAGCUUGUUGGCGGUGUAACGGCCCACCAAGGCAACGAUCAGUAGGGGUUCUGAGAGGAAGGUCCCCCACAUUGGAACUGAGACACGGUCCAAACUCAUACGGGAGGCAGCAGUGAGGAAUAUUGGUCAAUGGACGAGAGUCUGAACCAGCCAAGUAGCGUGCAGGAAGACGGCCCUAUGGGUUGUAAACUGCUUUUAUAAGAGAAUAAAGUGAGUCUCGUGAGACUUUUUGCAUGUACCUUAUGAAUAAGGACCGGCUAAUUCCGUG